AACGAACGCUGGCGGCAGGCUUAACACAUGCAAGUCGAGCGCCCCGCAAGGGGAGCGGCAGACGGGUGAGUAACACGUGGGAACAUACCCAUCUCUGCGGAACAACUCCGGGAAACUGGAGCUAAUACCGCAUACGCCCUUAGGGGGAAAGAUUUAUCGGAGAUGGAUUGGCCCGCGUUGGAUUAGCUAGUUGGUGGGGUAAAGGCCUACCAAGGCGACGAUCCAUAGCUGGUCUGAGAGGAUGAUCAGCCACAUUGGGACUGAGACACGGCCCAAACUCCUACGGGGGGCAGCAGUGGGGAAUAUUGGACAAUGGGCGCAAGCCUGAUCCAGCCAUGCCGCGUGAGUGAUGAAGGCCUUAGGGUUGUAAAGCUCUUUCACCGAUGAAGAUAAUGACGGUAGUCGGAGAAGAAGCCCCGGCUAACUUCGUGCCAGCAGCCGCGGUAA
rnacentral:rRNA from 1 species